GACGCUCUUCCUAUCUCCAUGUUGCUUACGUUGAAAUAUGGAGAUUUACUUUCAUUUUCCCAUGUCAUAAAGAACAUGUAUCAUUUGAUUCAAUAAAUUUGUUAAAGGAAUAUAGAUUCUAUUACCA